UUAAAAAUGAAUAAUAAUUCUCGUAUAUGCCCGGUAAUAUGGUCCGGGCGUUUCUACCAAGUUCCCAAAAAAUGAACUGGACUACGGGUUGAAGUAUUUGACGA
rnacentral:ncRNA from 2 species